GACGAACGCUGGCGGCGUGCUUAACACAUGCAAGUCGAGCGGUAAGGCCCUUUCGGGGGUACACGAGCGGCGAACGGGUGAGUAACACGUGGGUGACCUGCCCUCAGCUCUGGGAUAAGCCUGGGAAACUGGGUCUAAUACUGGAUAUGACUCCACGGUGCAUGUCGUGGGGUGGAAAGCCUUGUGCGGCUGAGGACGGGCCCGCGGCCUAUCAGCUUGUUGGUGGGGUGAUGGCCUACCAAGGCGACGACGGGUAGCCGGCCUGAGAGGGCGACCGGCCACACUGGGACUGAGACACGGCCCAGACUCCUACGGGAGGCAGCAGUGGGGAAUCUUGCGCAAUGGGCGAAAGCCUGACGCAGCGACGCCGCGUGAGGGAUGACGGCCU
rnacentral:rRNA from 1 species